rnacentral:rRNA from 1 species
GGUAGCCUACGGGAGGCAGCAGUGGGGAAUAUUGCACAAUGGGGGAAACCCUGAUGCAGCGACGCCGCGUGAGUGAAGAAGUAUUUCGGUAUGUAAAGCUCUAUCAGCAGGGAAGAGAGAAAUGACGGUACCUGACUAAGAAGCCCCGGCUAACUACGUGCCAGCAGCCGCGGUAAUACGUAGGGGGCAAGCGUUAUCCGGAUUUACUGGGUGUAAAGGGAGCGUAGACGGCGAUGCAAGUCUGAAGUGAAAGGCGGGGGCCCAACCCCCGGACUGCUUUGGAAACUGUAUGGCUGG